UACGAAGGGGGCUAGCGUUGUUCGGAAUCACUGGGCGUAAAGCGCACGUAGGCGGAUCUUUAAGUCAGGGGUGAAAUCCCGAGGCUCAACCUCGGAACUGCCUUUGAUACUGGGGAUCUCGAGUCCGGGAGAGGUGAGUGGAACUGCGAGUGUAGAGGUGAAAUUCGUAGAUAUUCGCAAGAACACCAGUGGCGAAGGCGGCUCACUGGCCCGGAACUGACGCUGAGGUGCGAAAGCGUGGGGAGCAAGCGGG
rnacentral:rRNA from 1 species